CACGUAGGGGGCGAGCGUUGUCCGGAUUUAUUGGGCGUAAAGAGUUCGUAGGCGGCUAAGUAAGUCGGGUGUGAAAACUCCAGGCUCAACCUGGAGACGCCACCCGAUACUGCUUUGGCUAGAGUCCGGUAGGGGAGCAUGGAAUUCCUGGUGUAGCGGUGAAAUGCGCAGAUAUCAGGAGGAACACCAGUGGCGACGGCGGUGCUCUGGGCCGGUACUGACGCUGAGGAGCGAAAGCGUGGGGAGCAAACAGG
rnacentral:rRNA from 1 species